rnacentral:misc_RNA from 1 species
UACGAAGGGUGCAAGCGUUGUUCGGAAUCAUUGGGCGUAAAGCGAGCGCAGGCGGAUUGAUAAGUCAGGUGUGAAAUCUCGAGGCUCAACCUCGAAACUGCGCCUGAAACUAUUAGUCUAGAAUGUCGGAGGGGAUAGGGGAAUUUCACGUGUAGGGGUAAAAUCCGUAGAGAUGUGAAGGAACACCGGAGGCGAAGGCGCCUAUCUGGACGACUAUUGACGCUGAGGCUCGAAAGCGUGGGGAGCAAACAGG